UACGUAGGGGGCAAGCGUUGUCCGGAUUUAUUGGGCGUAAAGAGCGUGUAGGCGGUUUGGUAGGUCCGUUGUGAAAACUCGAGGCUCAACCUCGAGACGCCGGCGGAAACCAUUAGGCUAGAGUCCGGAAGAGGAGAGUGGAAUUCCUGGUGUAGCGGUGAAAUGCGCAGAUAUCAGGAAGAACACCCGUGGCUAAGGCGGCUCUCUAGUACGGUACUGACGCUGAGACGCGAAAGCGUGGGGAGCGAACAGG
rnacentral:rRNA from 1 species